GGUAACAGGAAGCAGCUUGCUGCUUUGCUGACGAGUGGCGGACGGGUGAGUAAUGUCUGGGAAACUGCCUGAUGGAGGGGGAUAACUACUGGAAACGGUGGCUAAUACCGCAUAACGUCGCAAGACCAAAGAGGGGGACCUUCGGGCCUCUUGCCAUCAGAUGUGCCCAGAUGGGAUUAGCUUGUUGGUGAGGUAACGGCUCACCAAGGCGACGAUCCCUAGCUGGUCUGAGAGGAUGACCAGCCACACUGGAACUGAGACACGGUCCAGACUCCUACGGGAGGCAGCAGUGGGGAAUAUUGCACAAUGGGCGCAAGCCUGAUGCAGCCAUGCCGCGUGUAUGAAGAAGGCCUUCGGGUUGUAAAGUACUUUCAGCGGGGAGGAAGGUGUUGUGGUUAAUAACCGCAGCAAUUGACGUUACCCGCAGAAGAAGCACCGGCUAACUCCGUGCCAGCAGCCGCGGUAAUACGGAGGGUGCAAGCGUUAAUCGGAAUUACUGGGCGUAAAGCGCACGCAGGCGGUCUGUCAAGUCGGAUGUGAAAUCCCCGGGCUCAACCUGGGAACUGCAUUCGAAACUGGCAGGCUUGAGUCUUGUAGAGGGGGG
rnacentral:rRNA from 1 species